UCACACCAGAAAUAAUUCUCUUUCUGGGCCCCUAAAAGCUUUUGUUCUUCCUGCUCUUCCUGCCUGUAAUUGCAUGUCCUCAAAUUCAUUUGUAUGAAUCAGGCUGUUCAUUUUUUAAAAAAUAUUUUUGGUUGUAGGUGGACACAAUACCCUUAUUUUAUUCACUUAUUUAUAUGUGAUGCUGAGGAUCCAACCCAGUGCCUCACAAGUGCUAGGCAAGAGCUCCACCACUGAGCCACAACCCCAGCCUAGGCUGUUCUUUUUUUGGUACCAGGGAUUGAACUCAGGGGUACUGAGCUAUAUAUAUCCCCAGCCCCAUUUUAUAUUUUAUUUAGAGACAGAGUCUUCAAUGAGUUGCUUAGUGCCUCGAUUUUGCUGAGGUUGGCUUUGAUCCUCCUGCCUCAACCUCCCAAGCCACUGGGAUUACAGGCUUGCACCACCAUGCCCGGCCAGGCUGUUCAUUUUUAAAGUAUCAGAAAAACAACUCAGGGUGGUCAGGAGGGAAGAUGGGAUGCUUGGUAACUAAACCUUCAGGACAGUCUGGCAUUAGGCCGGACUUGUCUUUCUUCAUCUCCUCACCUUCCUGAGUGUUGGUUUACUGUCUGAGAUGCUGGGUAAGUGUAGGUAUGAGGGUAGGAGCCAGUGACCUCUAGAAGGGGACAGGGUGUGAAUAGCAAGGUCCAUAACUACACUGUCCUCCAGCUUCUUUCUUUCUUUGCCCAUCAGUAAAAGAGAGAUACUAGUACUAACUAAAUUCUGGUGGGGAGUCUGUUGAUUGGCAUCUUAUUUCAUCUGGGCUGCUCUAAAACAAAAUACAGAAAAUUUCCAACUUACAAUGAUUCAACUUAUGAUCUUUCAAAUUUAUG
rnacentral:lncRNA from 1 species